rnacentral:rRNA from 1 species
AUUGAACGCUGGCGGCAGGCUUAACACAUGCAAGUCGAGCGAGUGGCGGACGGGUGAGUAAUGUCUGGGAAACUGCCUGAUGGAGGGGGAUAACUACUGGAAACGGUAGCUAAUACCGCAUACCAUCAGAUGUGCCCAGAUGGGAUUAGCUUGUUGGUGGGGUAAUGGCUCACCAAGGCGACGAUCCCUAGCUGGUCUGAGAGGUUGACCAGCCACACUGGAACUGAGACACGGUCCAGACUCCUACGGGAGGCAGCAGUGGGGAAUCUUGGACAAUGGGCGAAAGCCUGAUGGAGCAACGCCGCGUGUAUGAAGAAGGCCUUCGGGUUGUAAAGCUCUUUUAUCAGGGAGGCGGUACCCAAAGAGAAAGCACCGGCUAACUCCGUGCCAGCAGCCGCGGUAAUAC